GGGUUGUGAGGUUAAGCGACUAAGCGUACACGGUGGAUGCCCUGGCAGUCAGAGGCGAUGAAGGGCGUGCUAAUCUGCGAUAAGCGCCGGUAAGGUGAUAUGAACCGUUAUAACCGGCGAUACCCGAAUGGGGAAACCCAGUGUGAUUCGUCACACUAUCAUUAACUGAAUCCAUAGGUUAAUGAGGCGAACCGGGGGAACUGAAACAUCUAAGUACCCCGAGGAAAAGAAAUCAACCGAGAUUCCCCCAGUAGCGGCGAGCGAACGGGGAGGAGCCCAGAGCCUGAAUCAGCAUGUGUGUUAGUGGAAGCGUCUGGAAAGGCGCGCGAUACAGGGUGACAGCCCCGUACACAAAAGCGCAUGUGCUGUGAGCUCGAUGAGUAGGGCGGGACACGUGGUAUCCUGUCUGAAUAUGGGGGGACCAUCCUCCAAGGCUAAAUACUCCUGACUGACCGAUAGUGAACCAGUACCGUGAGGGAAAGGCGAAAAGAACCCCGGCGAGGGGAGUGAAAAAGAACCUGAAACCGUGUACGUACAAGCAGUGGGAGCCCCACCACUAAGCCAGUGGUGAACUCCACAUACGCAUCCUUUGCUGAGGAUACGGUUAACGGAGCGAAAGCGACGUUCAACCUCAAAAGAAGCAGAGGGGGCUUAGUGGUGGGGUGACUGCGUACCUUUUGUAUAAUGGGUCAGCGACUUAUAUUCUGUAGCAAGGUUAACCGCAUAGGGGAGCCGGAGGGAAACCGAGUCUUAAU
rnacentral:rRNA from 1 species